UUAGUUUCCAUGAUUAUAUUUUGAUUAUCUAAUUUAGAUUUCUGUUUACUUAAAUUCUAUUUAGUGCUGCAAAGAAUAUAAAAUUUUUAAUAGACUGGACUAGAAAUUGUUGGUAGAGUUUUGAAAGGCCUCUUUUCCUUCAGAAUAAUGAAAAUAGUAUAUGUCCCAAAUUUUAAAUAAGUAGAGUUUUUAGCAUUCUAAAUUAAUAUAGCUUGUUAACAUUUGGUUUUGUUUUUUUCCAUCUGCAAAGGAAAAAAAAGGACUAUUAGAAUGGAAAAGAUAGGGACUGCUUGCCUUGCAUGCAGAGGAACUCAGUUUGAUCCCUAGCAGCAUAUGGUCUCCUGAGCAUUUGCUCAAAACCCCACACCCAAAAAACGGGUAUAGAGAGAAAAGUUGUUGGAUGGUCAUUUCAUUUUGAUAACAUGUGGAAUGGUCUUAAAAGCUCACAGAAAUGAAAAAACAAUUAGGAUUUCUCCUGUUUAAGAAAAAGGAAUUUCAGCUUUAAUUUUGGAAUAUAAAAUGUCUAUUUGCUA